UACAGAGGUCCCGAGCGUUGUUCGGAUUCAUUGGGCGUAGAGGGUGCGUAGGCGGCGGGGUAAGUUUGAUGUGAAAUCCCGGGGCUCAACCCUGGAAUUGCAUUGAAUACUACCUUGCUAGAGUACCGGAGAGGAAACUGGAAUUUACGGUGUAGCAGUGAAAUGCGUAGAGAUCGUAAGGAAGACCAGUGGCGAAGGCGAGUUUCUGGACGGUAACUGACGCUGAGGCACGGAGGCCAGGGGAGCAAACGGG
rnacentral:rRNA from 1 species